rnacentral:rRNA from 1 species
AACGAACGCUGGCGGCAGGCUUAACACAUGCAAGUCGAACGCGUGUAGCAAUACACGAGUGGCGCACGGGUGAGUAACGCGUGGAUAUCUGCCUUUUGGUUCGGAAUAACCCCGGGAAACUGGGGCUAAUACCGGAUGGUUCCUUCGGGAUAAAGAUUUAUCGCCAAAAGAUGAGUCCGGGUACGAUUAGCUAGUUGGUGAGGUAAUGGCUCACCAAGGCGACGAUCGUUAGCUGGUCUGAGAGGACGAUCAGCCACACUGGGACUGAGACACGGCCCAGACUCCUACGGGAGGCAGCAGUGGGGAAUAUUGGACAAUGGGGGCAACCCUGAUCCAGCCAUGCCGCGUGAGUGGUGAAGGCCUUCGGGUUGUAAAGCUCUUUUGGCGGGGACGAUGAUGACGGUACCCGCAGAAUAAGCCCCGGCUAACUUCGUGCCAGCCGCCGCAGUAA